rnacentral:rRNA from 1 species
UACGGAGGGUGCGAGCGUUGUCCGGAAUCACUGGGCGUAAAGGGCGCGUAGGUGGCGCGGGCAGUCAACGGUGAAAGUUCGGGGCUCAACCCUGAAUCGGCCGUCGAUACUCCCGGGCUGGAGCACUGUAGAGGCUAAUGGAAUUCCGGGUGUAGCGGUGGAAUGCGUAGAGAUCCGGAAGAACACCGGUGGCGAAGGCGGUUAGCUGGGCAGUUGCUGGACACUGAGGCGCGGACAGCGUGGGGAGCAAACAGGG